rnacentral:rRNA from 1 species
GACGAACGCUGGCGGCGUGCUUAACACAUGCAAGUCGAACGGAAAGGCCCUGCUUUUGUGGGGUGCUCGAGUGGCGAACGGGUGAGUAACACGUGAGUAACCUGCCCUUGACUUUGGGAUAACUUCAGGAAACUGGGGCUAAUACCGGAUAGGAGCUCCUGCUGCAUGGUGGGGGUUGGAAAGUUUCGGCGGUUGGGGAUGGACUCGCGGCUUAUCAGCUUGUUGGUGGGGUAGUGGCUUACCAAGGCUUUGACGGGUAGCCGGCCUGAGAGGGUGACCGGCCACAUUGGAACUGAGAUGCGGCCCAGACUCCUCCGGGAGGCAGCGGUGGGGAAUAGUGCACAAUGGGCGGAAGCCUGAUGCAGCAACGCCGCGUGCGGGAUGACGGCCUUCGGGUUGUAAACCGCUUUCGCCUGUGACGAGGCGUGAGUGACGGUAAUGGGUAAAGAAGCACCGGCUAACUACGUG